rnacentral:rRNA from 1 species
UACGUAGGGGGCAAGGCGUUGUCCGGAAUCAUUGGGCGUAAAGCGCGCGUAGGCGGCCCGGUAAGUCCGCUGUAAAAGUCCAGGGCUCAACCCUGGAAAGCCGGUGGAUACUGUCGGGCUAGAGUCCGGAAGAGGCGAGUGGAAUUCCAGGUGUAGCGGUGAAAUGCGUAGAUAUCUGGAGGAACACCGGUGGCGAAGGCGGAUCUCUGGGCCUUACCUGACGCUCAGGUGCGAAAGCUAGGGGAGCGAACAGGA